rnacentral:sRNA from 1 species
UUCAAUUUGCUCGUACCAAUCUUAAUUGA